GAUGAACGCUGGCGGCGUGCCUAAUACAUGCAAGUCGAGCGAACAGACGAGGAGCUUGCUCCUCUGACGUUUGCGGCGGACGGGGGAGUAACACGUGGAUACCCUACCUAUAAGACUGGGAUACCUCAGGGAAACCGGAGCUAAUACCGGAUAACCUGUUGAACCGCAUGGUUCAACAGUGAAGGACGGUCUUGCUGUCACUUAUACAUGGAUCCGCGCCGCAUUAGCUAGUGGGUAAGGUAACGGCUUACCAAGGGAACGAUGCGUAGCCGACCUGAAAGAGUGAACGGCCGAACGGGAACUGGGACACGGUCCAGACUCCUACGGGAGGCAACAGUAGGAAAUCUUCGGCAAGGGGGGAAAGCCGGACGGAGCAACGCCGCGGGGGUGAAGAGGGUCUUCGGUUCGAAAAACCCUGUUAUUAGGGAAAAACAAAUGUGUAAGUAACUAUGCACGUCUUGACGGUACCUGAUCAGAAAGCCACGGCUAACUACGUG
rnacentral:rRNA from 1 species